rnacentral:rRNA from 1 species
UGGGGAAUAUUGGACAAUGGGCGCAAGCCUGAUCCAGCCAUGCCGCGUGUGUGAAGAAGGCCUUUUGGUUGUAAAGCACUUUAAGCGAGGAGGAGGCUACUUGGAUUAAUACUCUAGGAUAGUGGACGUUACUCGCAGAAUAAGCACCGGCUAACUCUGUGCCAGCAGCCGCGGUAAUACAGAGGGUGCGAGCGUUAAUCGGAUUUACUGGGCGUAAAGCGUGCGUAGGCGGCUUUUUAAGUCGGAUGUGAAAUCCCUGAGCUUAACUUAGGAAUUGCAUUCGAUACUGGGAAGCUAGAGUAUGGGAGAGGAUGGUAGAAUUCCAGGUGUAGCGGUGAAAUGCGUAGAGAUCUGGAGGAAUACCGAUGGCGAAGGAAGCCAUCUGGCCUAAUACUGACGCUGGGGUACGAAAGCAUGGGGAGCAAACAGG